UCGUCAGCUCAGUAACACGUGUACAAUCUGCCCUGCACUCUGGGACAAGCCCUGGAAACGGGGUCUAAUACCGGAUAUUGACCUUCACGGGCAUCUGUGAGGUUCGAAAGCUCCGGCGGUGCAGGAUGAGCCCGCGGCCUAUCAGCUUGUUGGUGAGGUAAUGGCUCACCAAGGCGACGACGGGUAGCCGGCCUGAGAGGGCGACCGGCCACACUGGGACUGAGACACGGCCCAGACUCCUACGGGAGGCAGCAGUGGGGAAUAUUGCACAAUGGGCGAAAGCCUGAUGCAGCGACGCCGCGUGAGGGAUGACGGCCUUCGGGUUGUAAACCUCUUUCAGCAGGGAAGAAGCGAAAGUGACGGUACCUGCAGAAGAAGCGCCGGCUAACUACGUGCCAGCAGCCGCGGUAAUACGUAGGGCGCAAGCGUUGUCCGGAAUUAUUGGGCGUAAAGAGCUCGUAGGCGGCUUGUCACGUCGGUUGUGAAAGCCCGGGGCUUAACCCCGGGUCUGCAGUCGAUACGGGCAGGCUAGAGUUCGGUAGGGGAGAUCGGAAUUCCUGGUGUAGCGGUGAAAUGCGCAGAUAUCAGGAGGAACACCGGUGGCGAAGGCGGAUCUCUGGGCCGAUACUGACGCUGAGGAGCGAAAGCGUGGGGAGCGAACAGGAUUAGAUACCCUGGUAGUCCACGCCGUAAACGGUGGGCACUAGGUGUGGGCAACAUUCCACGUUGUCCGUGCCGCAGCUAACGCAUUAAGUGCCCCGCCUGGGGAGUACGGCCGCAAGGCUAAAACUCAAAGGAAUUGACGGGGCCCGCACAAGCGGCGGAGCAUGUGGCUUAAUUCGACGCAACGCGAAGAACCUUACCAAGCUUGACAUACACCGGAACGGCCAGAGAUGGUCGCCCCCUUGUGGUCGGUGUACAGUGGUGCAUGCUGGCGAACGGGU
rnacentral:rRNA from 1 species